GCCCUGCUGUGCGCGUGGUAGCCCGAUAAGUUUUGAGCCAACACCAAUACACUGGGAGUCCGGAGUCCGACCGUGGCGCACAUGCCCCGGGCAGUGACGCUGGGGACGUGUAAAGCGGCCGGCAGGACACCCACCUGCGUGAGCGCGGGUUCAAAACAUCGGUUAACACGGCAUGGUAGGGC
rnacentral:other from 1 species